GACGAACGCUGGCGGCGUGCUUAACACAUGCAAGUCGAACGAUAAAGCUAGAGCUUGCUCUGGUGGAUUAGUGGCGAACGGGUGAGUAACGCGUGAGUAACCUGCCCCGAACUCUGGGAUAACUGCUGGAAACGGUAGCUAAUACUGGAUACGACCAACGAAGGCAUCUUCUGUUGGUGGAAAGAAUUUCGGUUCGGGAUGGACUCGCGGCCUAUCAGCUUGUUGGUGAGGUAACGGCUCACCAAGGCGACGACGGGUAGCCGGCCUGAGAGGGUGAUCGACCACACUGGGACUGAGACACGGCCCAGACUCCUACGGGAGGCAGCAGUGGGGAAUAUUGCACAAUGGGCGCAAGCCUGAUGCAGCAACGCCGCGUGAGGGACGACGGCCUUCGGGUUGUAAACCUCUUUUAGUAGGGAAGAAGCGAAAGUGACGGUACCUGCAGAAAAAGCACCGGCUAACUACGUGCCAGCCGCCGCGGUAA
rnacentral:rRNA from 1 species